rnacentral:rRNA from 1 species
GCGACCGGCGCAGGGUGCGUAACGCGUGAGCAACAUGCCCGUAUCAGGGGAUAAUCCAGGAAACUUGGUCUAAUACCGCAUAGGAAUCGUAAUUGGCAUCAAUUAAGAUUUAAAAAUACGUUGGAUACGGAUUGGCUCGCGUGACAUUAGCUAGAUGGGGAGGUAACGGCUCACCAUGGCGACGAUGUCUAGGGGUUCUGAGAGGAAGGUCCCCCACACUGGUACUGAGACACGGACCAGACUCCUACGGGAGGCAGCAGUGAGGAAUAUUGGACAAUGGAUGGAAAUCUGAUCCAGCCAUGCCGCGUGCAGGAAGACGGGCCUAUGGGUUGUAAACUGCUUUUGUAUGGGAGCAAUAAGGGUUACGUGUAACCUGAUGAGAGUACCAUACGAAUAAGCAUCGGAUAACUCCGUGCCAGCAAGCCGCGGUAAUACGGAGGAUGCGAGCGUUAUCCGGAUUUAUAGGGUUUAAAGGGUGCGUAAUGCGGGANAUAAGUACAGAUGGUGAAAUAUUACGGUCAAACGGGAGACUGCCAUAAGAAACUGUGAUGCUCAUAAUAUGGUUGACUGCUGAGAGAUNGGGAAAAAUAGCUAGUUGGG